GGGAAAUUAUCACACUAUUCAUAAAGUCUGUAUAAAGAAAUUACUUUAUUUAAUUUACUUUAGUAAAUCUGGUGCUGUCCACUUUGUACCUCCUCAAGAAGGACCAUCACGUUUUAGCUCUCCAGUGCUAUAUUCACCAAUUAGUGAGCCUCAUGUGAUUUGCAGUGCAUCGAUGAAUUAAACAGAUUGAACUACAUAGUAUGGAGGGUUAAACGUCAUGUCUGCCUCUUCAUGAUUUGAGGUAGUUUUUUUUUCUUCCUCUUCCUGAAACUCAUCUGACUCACUGAUUAGUGAAUAUUAACGCCCUGUAUUUUUACUGGAUAUCUAUUAUAGUCCCAACAAUGAGUGCCAAAGUUGGCCUUACUUCACUCUAACAUAGUAAGCUGUCACUUUUUUUUUAUGUAUGGAAACAGUAGCUUAGAGAAUAACAGGGUUAAAAGCUUUUGUGUAGUAGUUAGUUUUGAUGAAUAUAAAAGGAUGUAGCUAAUCCGAAGAUGUAAAUUAAACUUUUUCUUUAAAAAAAAAACUCUUGCUUUUGUUCAAGGAGAUAAAUAAUCUAACAAAAUAGGACAGAAAAUAAAACUUGAAUACCUGGCAAAACAAUUAGUUAAAAAAAACAAACAUUUUGCAAUGUGGGUUAUGAUUACCUCUAAAUAAAACCAAGCUAUAAUGUAUGAGGAAUCUCUUCAAGGUGUUUUCUG